rnacentral:rRNA from 1 species
GUGCAGCAGGCGCGAAAACUUCACACUGUGCGAAAGCACGAUGAGGGAAUCCCAAGUGCUUGCACGUAAGUGUAAGCUGUUUCUCUGUUUAAAACGCAGAGAGAGUAAGGGCUGGGUAAGACGGGUGCCAGCCGCCGCGGUAAUACCUGCAGCUCAAGUGGUGACCGUUAUUAUUGGGCCUAAAACGUCCGUAGCCGGUUUAAUAAAUGCCUGGGUAAAUCGUGUAGCUUAACUAUACGAAUUCCGGGUAGACUGUUAAACUCGAGACCGGGAGAAGUUAGAGGUACUCCUGGGGUAGAGGUGAAAUUCUGUAAUCCUAGGGGGACCACCAGUGGCGAAGGCGUCUAACUAGAACGGGUCUGACGGUGAGGGACGAAGCCCUGGGGCGCAAACGGGAUUAGAUACCCCUGUAGU